rnacentral:sRNA from 1 species
GCUGGGCAAGGUGGCGCACACCUGUGACCCCAGUGCUCGGGAGGCUGGGGCAGGAGGAUCGUGAGUUCAAGGCCAGCCUCAGCAACUCAGUGAGGUCCUGAGCAACUCAGUGAGACCCUGUCUCCA